AGCAGCCGCGGUAAUUCCAGCUCCAAUAGCGUAUAUUAAAGUUGUUGCAGUUAAAAAGCUCGUAGUUGAAUUUCGGGAUCAGUUCGUCGGUCGUGCCUUUGGUAUGUACUGGUGUUACUGGUUCCUCCCUUCUGACGAACCGUCAUGUCAUUAAUUUGGUGUGGCGGGAAAUCAGGACUGUUACUUUGAAAAAUUAGAGUGUUUAAAGCAGGCUCGCGCUUGAAUACAUUAGCAUGGAAUAAUGAAAUAGGACGUUCGAUCCUAUUUUGUUGGUUUCUAGGAUUGACGUAAUGAUUAAUAGGGAUAGUUGGGGGCAUUAGUAUUCAAUUGUCAGAGGUGAAAUUCUUGGAUUUAUUGAAGACUAACUACUGCGAAAGCAUUUGCCAAGGAUGUUUUCAUUAAUCAAGAACGAAAGUUAGGGGAUCGAGGACGAUCAGAUACCGUCAUAGUCUUAACCAUAAACUAUGCCGACUAGGGAUCGGAUGAUGUUAAUUUUUAAUGACUCA
rnacentral:rRNA from 1 species